CUGAUCGGCCACAUUGGGAUUGAGACACGGCCCAAACUCCUACGGGAGGCUGCAGUAGGAAUCUUCCACAAUGGGCGAAAGCCUGAUGGAGCAACGCCGCGUGUGUGAUGAAGGCUUUCGGGUCGUAAAGCACUGUUGUAUGGGAAGAAAAGUUAAGGUAGGGAAUGACCUUAGCCUGACGGUACCAUACCAGAAAGGGACGGCUAAAUACGUGCCAGCAGCCGCGGUAAUACGUAUGUCCCGAGCGUUAUCCGGAUUUAUUGGGCGUAAAGCGAGCGCAGACGGUUGGUUAAGUCUGAUGUGAAAGCCCGGAGCUCAACUCCGGAAAGGCAUUGGAAACUGGUUAACUUGAGUGCAGUAGAGGUAAGUGGAACUCCAUGUGUAGCGGUGGAAUGCGUAGAUAUAUGGAAGAACACCAGCGGCGAAGGCGGCUUACUGGACUGUAACUGACGUUGAGGCUCGAAAGUGUGGGUAGCAAACAGGAUUAGAUACCCUGGUAGUCCACACCGUAAACGAUGAACACUAGGUGUUAGGAGGUUUCCGCCUCUUAGUGCCGAAGCUAACGCAUUAAGUGUUCCGCCUGGGGAGUACGACCGCAAGGUUGAAACUCAAAGGAAUUGACGGGGACCCGCACAAGCGGUGGAGCAUGUGGUUUAAUUCGAAGCAACGCGAAGAACCUUACCAGGUCUUGACAUCCUUUGAAGCUUUUAGAAAUAGAAGUGUUCUCUUCGGAGACAAAGUGACAGGUGGUGCAUGGUCGUCGUCAGCUCGUGUCGUGAGAUGUUGGGUUAAGUCCCGCAACGAGCGCAACCCUUAUUGUUAGUUGCCAGCAUUCAGAUGGGCACUCUAGCGAGACUGCCGGUGACAAACCGGAGGAAGGCGGGGACGACGUCAGAUCAUCAUGCCCCUUAUGACCUGGGCUACACACGUGCUACAAUGGCGUAUACAACGAGUUGCCAACCUGCGAAGGUGAGCUAAUCUCUUAAAGUACGUCUCAGUUCGGACUGCAGUCUGCAACUCGACUGCACGAAGUCGGAAUCGCUAGUAAUCGCGGAUCAGCACGCCGCGGUGAAUACGUUCCCGGGUCUUGUACACACCGCCCGUCACACCAUGGAAGUUUGUAAUGCCCAAAGCCGGUGGCCUAACCGUAAGGAGGGAACCGUCUAAG
rnacentral:rRNA from 1 species